rnacentral:rRNA from 1 species
GACGAACGCUGGCGGCGGGCUUAACACAUGCAAGUCGAACGGAAAGGGCCUGCUUUUGUGGGGUGCUCGAGUGGCGAACGGGUGAGUAACACGGGAGUAACCUUCCCUGGGCUUGGGGAUAACUGCAGGAAACUGGGGCUAAUGCCGGAGAGGAGCGGCUGCUGCAUGGGGGGGGUUGGAAAGUUUCGGCGGUGGGGGAUGGACUCGGGGCUUAUCAGCUUGUUGGGGGGGUAGUGGCUUACCAAGGCUUUGACGGGUAGCCGGCCUGGGAGGGUGACCGGCCACAUUGGGACUGAGAUACGGCCCAGACUCCUACGGGAGGCAGCAGUGGGGAAUAUUGUACAAUGGGCGGAAGCCUGAUGAAGCAACGCCGCGUGCGGGAUGACGGUCUUCGGGUUGUAAACCGCUUUCGCCUGUGACGAAGCGUGAGUGACGGUAAUGGGUAAAGAAGCACCGGCUAACUACGUG